rnacentral:rRNA from 1 species
GGUACAAUGCGAAGCGAAGCAGUGAUGUGAAGCAAAUCGCACCAAAGCCAGUCCCAGUUCGGAUAAGAGGCUGAAACUCGCCUCUUUGAAGUCGGAAUCGCUAGUAAUCGCAGAUCAGCAUGUUGCGGUGAAUACGUUCCCGGGUCUUGUACACACCGCCCGUCAAACCAUGAGAGUCACCAACACCCGAAGUCCGCCUUGGCGGCCUAAGGUGGGGGAGAUGAUUGGGGUUAAGUCGUAACAAGGUAGC